GGAGACCAGGGAGGCGAGGGGCAGGUGCGGGUCCUGGGACCGCAGCAGCGAAGUCUAAAUCCCAGGCUGAGACGGUCACAACCAGGGAGCCAAGGAUGCUAUUCUCCAGAAUCUUCACCUCAUAAAAGGCCUGCUCAAAUUCAGGGGAGUUGUCAUUAAUAUCUACAACCACCACCCUGACCAAGGCAGUUCCAGACCUGGGAGGGGACCCGCCAUCCAGAGCAGUGAGGAUGAAACUGAGCUCCGGGAGCUCUUCAUAAUCCAGCGCCUUGUCCAGAACUAACUCAGGGUAUUUCCUAUUGUCUGGAUUGACUCUUAUUUUAACGUGGAAAUGAGAGUUCGGAUUUAUUGUGUAGCUUUUUACAGCAUUGAUUCCUACAUCUAAAUCCUUUGCACUUUCAAGCAAGAACACAGCAGCAACAGGACUGUUCUCUGGGAUUUCUAAGAGCAUUUCUUUUUCCAAGAAGACGGGAGAGUGAUCAUUUAUAUCCCUGACCUGGAGCUCAAUUUGUAAAAACUGCGUGGGGUUUUUCAUUAACACUUGGAAAUACAGCACACAAGGCUCAUUGGAGCCACAGAGCUCCUCCCUGUCUAGCAUUUCGCUCAGGAGCAAAUCCCCAGUGUUUGUGUCCAGCUGCAAACACUCUUUGUUAUCAUUAGAAACCACCCGAGCCCCCCGCGAAGACAGCUCACUCACCUCGAGUCCCAGGGUCUUUGCCAAAUUUCCUACAAAGCUCCCGCUCUGCAAUUCCUCCAUCACCAAAAAGUUCCCAGUUUCAGAGCCCGCCUGAGACAUUCCCAGCAAAACAAAGAAAAGCAGGACUUGCCUUAUCUGCAGAGUGCCUGCCCCUCCGUUUUCCAUAGCUUCUUUUCCAAAACCCCAAAAUCUUCUUGCAGAAUUGCCUCAGCGCCUCUUCGCAGUUGUAGGAAACGUGUCUCUGAUCUGUCUACCAAAUCCUCGGAAGCCUAAAGAUUUUAACCUUGUUGAAUGGCUUCUAGGUUCUCCCUUAACGGAUUGUUCUUUCUGUCUUCCCAGUUCUCCGCGUGUACUGGAUAACAGGGUCUGCAACAUCCUCCAGGGUAAUUUUUUUCUUGAUAUUAUCCUGCAGCGCCACCACGCGUCUCCACAGAUUUUCACAGUUUGAUGAACACUACCUAAAUUUUAUUUACAUAAAUGUCCUCCAGA
rnacentral:lncRNA from 1 species